rnacentral:rRNA from 1 species
CCUACGGGAGGCAGCAGUGGGGAAUUUUGGACAAUGGGCGCAAGCCUGAUCCAGCCAUGCCGUGUGUGGGAAGAAGGCCUUCGGGUUGUAAACCACUUUUGUCAGGGAAGAAACGGUCUGAACUAAUACUUUGGACUAAUGACGGUACCUGAAGAAUAAGCACCGGCUAACUACGUGCCAGCAGCCGCGGUAAUACGUAGGGUGCAAGCGUUAAUCGGAAUUACUGGGCGUAAAGCGUGCGCAGGCGGCUUUGCAAGACAGAUGUGAAAUCCCCGGGCUCAACCUGGGAACUGCAUUUGUGACUGCAUGGCUAGAGUACGGUAGAGGGGGAUGGAAUUCCGCGUGUAGCAGUGAAAUGCGUAGAUAUGCGGAGGAACACCGAUGGCGAAGGCAAUCCCCUGGACCUGUACUGACGCUCAUGCACGAAAGCGUGGGGAGCAAACAGGAUUAGAUACCCUGGUAGUCCACGCCCUAAACCGAUGUCAACUGGUUGUUGGGUAGGGGUUUCGUUCUCAGUAACGAAGCUAACGCGUGAAGUUGACCGCCUGGGGAGUACGGCCGGCAAGGUUGAAACUCAAAGGAAAUUGACGG